rnacentral:lncRNA from 1 species
CUGCUUUUAUGAUGUAUUAAAUAAUUAUGUCAUGCAAUAAAAUGCAAAUUAAUUACUUAAAAAUCAUACAAUGUGAUUUUCUGGAUUUUUGUUUUAGAUUCCGUCUCUCACAGUCGAAGUGUACCUAUGAUAGAAAUGUACAGGACCUCUACAUGCUUUGUAAGUAGGAAAACCUCCAAAAUCGGCAGUGUAUCAAAUACUUGUUCUCCCCACCGUAUGUGUGUGUGUGUGUAUAUAUAUAUCAAAACAAAAAAUCUGUUUUAUGUGAGAAGUAGGCAUUGGUUUGAAGCCGAAAAAGUAAAGGAAAUGCACAAGCACAUCAAUGCCUACUCCACCCAUGCUCUACCAAGGUUUUCCAGCACCACAAUGCCUACUCCACCCAUGCUCUACCAAGGUUUUCCAGCACCACAAUGCCUACUCCACCCAUGCUCUACCAAGGUUUUCCAGCACCACAAUGCCUACUCCACCCAUGCUCUACCAAGGUUUUCCAGCACCACAAUGCCUACUCCACCCAUGCUCUACCAAGGUUUUCCAGCACCACAAUGCCUACUCCACCCAUGCUCUACCAUGGUUUUCCAGCACCACAAUGCCUACUCCACCCAUGCUCUACCAUGGUUUUCCAGCACCACAAUGCCUACUCCACCCAUGCUCUACCAAGGUUUUCCAGCACCACAAUGCCUACUCCACCCAUGCAUCUACCAUGGUUUUCCAGCACCACAAUGCCUACUCCACCAUGCUCUACCAUGGUUUUCCAGCACCACAAUGCCUACUCCACCCAUGCUCUACCAUGGUUUUCCAGCACCACAAUGCCUACUCCACCCAUGCUCUACCAUGGUUUUCCAGCACCACAAUGCCUACUCCACCCAUGCUCUACCAAGGUUUUCCAGCACCACAAUGCCUACUCCACCCAUGCUCUACCAAGGUUUUCCAGCACCACAAUGCCUACUCCACCCAUGCUCUACCAUGGUUUUCCAGCACCACAAUGCCUACUCCACCCAUGCUCUACCAUGGUUUUCCAGCACCACAAUGCCUACUCCACCCAUGCUCUACCAUGGUUUUCCAGCACCACAAUGCCUACUCCACCCAUGCUCUACCAAGGUUUUCCAGCACCACAAUGCCUACUCCACCCAUGCUCUACCAAGGUUUUCCAGCACAUCAAUGCCUACUCCACCCAUGCUCUACCAAGGUUUUCCAGCACCACAAUGCCUACUCCACCCAUGCUCUACCAAGGUUUUCCAGCACAUCAAUGCCUACUCCACCCAUGCUCUACCAAGGUUUUCCAGCACACAAUGCCUACUCCACCCAUGCUCUACCAAGGUUUU